UUUAGAAAAGCAUCUGGAUGCCCACGCCACCACCCUCCCAGCCACCUCUGAAGUUGCCAGGCUUCCCAACAUUCUUGUCUGUGAUAUUAAAGCCAUGACAGCAAACAGCCCCUUUCUCCUAAGGUUCCUGAUUUGAAGUGGCAAAACAAGGCAGUGGCAUAGUCUCCUGUCCUAUGUCCUUGGCAUGCAGUUGGCUUCAGGUCACAUGUUGCUCUGGAGAACCGAGAAGGGUGAGCAGACACCAAUCAUGACCCCAAACAGCAAGAGGACAGAAGUCUGCAGGAUGCUCAGCAGGGGCACUCCCUGAACACGCCUGCUCCCACAGCAUGUGCAAAGGCUUCACACUUGGAUUGAGGGUUAUACAUUUCUUCAUGGACAUCCCCAAACAACACAGAACAGAGACAAGGUUUCUGGUCCUUUUGGAAUGUCCACACCAUUCCCAUUCUUCAAAAUCUGUCACACUUCCAGAUAGUUCCAGUGAACAAUGAACUCUCCCCCUAUGCAGUAACAGUUGAUUAUUCAAUUUAACACUGAAUUAUAUAUUCUCUGGAACUGUUCUCUAACAACUAUGAGGCGUUUUCAACGGUAGUUG
rnacentral:lncRNA from 10 species